rnacentral:lncRNA from 1 species
CCAAUUUCUUCGUCUCGUCAAGAACUAUGAUUUUUGUUUUUGAAUCACUUGUUUUCGUUGAGUAUUGACAAAGUUAUGGACGUUGAAAGGUUGCCCAGAAAUUUCGGCGAGUUACCAGUUUUCUCGCGGACAGCCGUCUUUCAAACCAUUUUCCGACAACCUCCAGCCACCAUUUGGACUCCAAGCUGUAUAAUUUUGUUCUACAUUUCUCUAGCUUCGAUUUGGUAUAUUAUAGGUUGAAUUUGGUUGAAAAAUAAGUGAGAUAUGGAGUUCCAAAGAUUGCUCAGGAAAUCUGCAAAAUCUGUAGAAUUCAAGCAAAGUCCCAUUAAGUUCACCAUUUGAUUAGAAUAGUAAUCGACGAUCCGAACGUUGGAUUGUCACCAAACUUUAAUACAUUAUAGUACGUAAUAUUUGAGGACCAUAGAAACUUACAGAUCAAGAAUCUGACGUACAGAUCUUCCCGAAUUGGAUGUGUAAGUUUAUAAAAUAAAUGUUAACCGCCACUUGGUUUUGGGCAAUUGGCGGAGAUCCGACCGUUGGAUCGCAAUGAAAUUUUAAUAUGUUAUUCUAGAAGCAUAAUGUGAAUCUUUGGAAGUUGCGGAUUAAAAAUCUAGUAUGCAGAUCGUCCGGAUUGAGUUAUACAGGGUUGUAGACCCUACCGUCGAUCUUUGAUCGACGAUUGACUUAUGGUCAAUGGGUCUCAAACUAUUUUAGAAUGUCCUUGAGGAUGUGUUUUAUUUGAAUUACGUAUUCUAUUAAUGAGGAUUCUGAGAUGUGGUUAAUAAUUGGCCGCAGGCGCUGAUCGUUUGGAACUCCCUGAUGGUUGUGCUAGGAAGUUGUAGCAUGGACUCCAAGUGAGUGGAUCUUUCCUUGCUCAUCAUAUGUUUAAUGAUUGAUAAUUCUAUAAUGUUUUUAAAUAAAACUAAGAAAUUUAUGCCAUGAUUGAUAAUUCUAUAAUGUUUUUAAAUAAAACUAAGAAAUUUAUGCCAUGACAUAUAUAUAUGUUAUAAAAUACUAUGAAAUGGUUAAGUUAGAUUUCAUCGUGAUCUAUCCAUAUGCGUAUCACUAUAAAUGAUUUUUGCGAACUAUGAAUGGCUUGAUCUCUGUUUAGGGUACGUAGGCAGUUUAACGAGACGUUAGAUGCAACCAUAUAAGAAACGAAAUUAAAUAAUCGAGACCAUAGCCUUGUUUAAGGAAUUGAGCAAUGUGUGUGGGCUUUUGGUUUUCAGUAUAUAUUUAUAUACUUGAUAUUUUCCCAGAAAUAUGUUUAAAUGAUAUUAUGCCUUUAAUGCCAUGCAUAUAAGUUUAUAAUUUGUAUAUGAAUUGGUAUAUGAUGUAUUAUAUAUAAUUGUGUUGUUGUGAGAGCUCUGAAGUGCAAAAGUGAAUGUAGGACAUUCAGGUAAGUUCAGGUAAGUUUAAGUAAAUUCAAGCAAGUAUACGGUAUUAGAUGAUUGACGAGAUAUGUGAUAAGUUAUGAAUAUG